GACGAACGCUGGCGGCGUGCUUAAAACAUGCAAGUCGAACGGACUUCUCAUGAAGCUUGCGAUUGAGAAGUUAGUGGCGGACGGGUGAGUAACGCGUGGGCAACCUGCCCCUGAGCCCGGGAUAACAGUUCGAAAGGACUGCUAAGACCGGAUAUACUUGCGGGGAAGCAUUUCACUGCAAGGAAAGGGAACGCUCAGGGAUGGGCCCGCGUCCCAUUAGCUAGUUGGUGAGGUAACGGCCCACCAAGGCGACGAUGGGUAGCCGGCCUGAGAGGGUGAACGGCCACACUGGGACUGAGACACGGCCCAGACUCCUACGGGAGGCAGCAGUUGGGAAUCUUCGGCAAUGGGCGCAAGCCUGACCGAGCAACGCCGCGUGAGUGAUGAAGGUUUUCGGAUUGUAAAGCUCUGUCUUCCGGGACGAUAAUGACGGUACCGGAGGAGGGAGCCACGGCUAACUACGUG
rnacentral:rRNA from 1 species